UGACUGAGUCCCAACCCACCCCACCCCAACCCUCUUUAUCGCUGCUCCACCUUUUGUCUCUGACUUCUUUCACUCACUGUCCAUCUUGUGGUGUUGAUAAGACAAUUUGUGGUGUGGAUAAGACAAUCUGACUUGUGGAUGAGACAAUCUGACUUGUGGAUAAGACAAUCUGACUUGUGGAUAAGACAAAAACCCUUUUUGGGCUGUGCAUUGAAAUAUAUCCCCUUGCAUCGGGGCCCAACUGUUGAGACUUCUUUAUUACCUGUUGUGUGGAAUCCAAUUGAGAAAAGUGCAAGACGCGAGCCAUGCCACGCAAAAGCAAGAAGGCGCAAGCUGCCAAGGUAAGCUGGCAACAGCGUAAAAACAACACAGACUCUGGAAGUGCAGAUAAACCAACAACUGCCAAAGAAUUGAUGGCCACUGAACCUGGAAACUCUAUGGAGCUUUCCUGCAGGAGAUAGACAAUGUGACCAGUGCUCACCUGGACCUUGUUCUCGAUCGAGGCAAUGAGCUCUAUGUGGCUACUGUGGCUGUGCUGAAAACAGAAGGGCGGUAUGAACAUCAUCAUUUGGCAACCGAUGAAAUCCCAUCCAUUGUGAAUGGCUUUCACAAACAACAUGUGUUAAUAAAGUAUCAGUCAAUGUA